rnacentral:lncRNA from 1 species
AUGGAGGUUUGGCCAGCUUUGCAUUCCUCCUGUGGGAGCUGCUCAGCAAAUACCAUGAGGUUCAGGUGGGGAAAUGCAGUGCUGGGACUCCACAAGGUUUGGAUGGAGCAGGCUUUGCGAGGAGGAGAAGGAGCUGAAAAUGGAGCUGAAAAUGGAAACUUGAGGCUCAGAUGCUUGGAGGGGCUCAGGAGCCCCACUGAACCCAUCAGUUCCCAGGGAAGCAGGAGCUUCUGUUCCUCCUGGGGCCUGUGUCCUGCUCUCAUGCUCAGCACAGAGGGAGACAUUCACGCUCCACCUUGGAGCAAAAGUCAUUUUCAUUAACUUAUUGAGGAAAGGAGACAUAAAGACACAAUUUAAUUGCAAACCACAAGAUUACAGUGUGAGAUGAAGCGAGGAUAGAAUGAGGGAGGAAAAGGAAAAACAACUUGGUCUUAUUUUUGAUUUGCACCCCUUUAGCUGGCUGAGGGAGAGCUAG